AAGAAGGGGUGCAAAAGAAACUAUGUGAAGAAGACCAGCAUCCUUAGCGGAAUUUUCAAGAAACUCCUUACAUAGUAAAAAAAUUAAGGGGGACGGGGGGAGGAGUAUCAAAAAAGUGUUCUGAGAUAAAGUGAAAUACAAAUAUAGAGGAAUAAAAAUAGACCCAAAGAGAACAGGACAGUCCUAAGGACGGCUGCCGUGGAGGCCAGACUACUGGGGAAAUGCUAACGGGGGGCGGCGGGCCCCAAAAGGAGGUAAGAAGGGCGAGCAAAGGGCGCCCCGUGAGCCCGUGGCCCCGGCCGUACGUGGCUGCGGCUCGGGCCGCGGUAACAGAGGGCCGUGUUCGGAAGCCCGCGGCCCGACCUCGGGCGCCGGGCGGCGGGGCGCAGGGGCCGCGGGGGCUCAGCGCGGAGGCCCGGCCUGGCCCUGCUCCUGCACCGGCCGCGACGCCUUGUCGGGCUCCGCGCCGCCCGCGCCCGGGAAGCGCGGCCCGAGGCCCGCGAACGCGUCGCAGCACGGCGGGCUCUCCUCCUGCACCGGGCGGCCCACCGGCUCCCCCGCGCCGCCGCCCGGCCCCGCCGCGCCCUCCUGCGAGUUCUGGCUGACGUACACCACGAUGAUGUCGCCCUUGAAAUUCAUCACCUGCCCGCUGGAGAUGAACGUGGAGUUGCUGUUCCCCGUCACGGUUCCUGCAAGGGGAGGGGAAGAGAGAGGCGCAGGCGAACAGAAAGGUCUUACAGGGCUAUGAAGCCAACAUGACAAGGCAAUGCUCUGGGAUGGCGAAUCAACAGGUCACCACAUCAGCAAGCUGCAAGGCCAGCAACUGAAGAUUCUCCAACACUCGGUGACCAGAAGGAAUCAACAUCAGCAGCACUGAUUAAGGGGAGCGCUGCAGGCUUCAGAGUCCUGUCGCAUGUCGAUGCAGUCUUAUCAUCUGAACCCAGGUCUCAGCUGCUCUGGCUCCUCCUCUGGGAGGCCCUGGCUGACCCCAAGUUCGGAUGAGUCCCUGUCACUGCUCAUCUGGAGCUCUGCACCUUUGCUUUCACUUCUAAGCCUCUCUGUGGGCCUAACACCUGCCUUGCCCACGGAAGCGCUUCCUCCGCAAGGACACUCACUGUGGUUGUGCUGCUCAGUAUUGAGUCCCCAGUGCCUGGUGGCCAAGCAAGUGUGUUGCAUGAAGGGAUGAAGAGAAAGCUAAGAAUCACAAGCUCCAGCUCAGUCUAGGCAAGCCCGUUGUUCUUCUCACUGAUAGGAUGUGGCAGUAAGAGCAUUACAGAGACAAAAACUAAGAAGCAAAGCAUCAGAAGUCUGUUUAUCUCAUGUAAACACGACUAUCUGAACAUGCAUUAUUCAAUCCCUGGCUCCCAUGUUGUCAGGGAAGUGAAGUUGCAUUAAAUAACCAUAUCAAUAA